CAUCAGGUCAGUUAAAGAAAAGGAGACAUUUAGCAGAUGUCCAUGGUGGGAUCAGACCACCAGCAUAUCAACAGGGGGGGGUCUGAGUGGUGGGAUCAGACCACCAGCAUAUCAACAGGGGGGGGUCUGAGUGGUGGGAUCAGACCACCAGCAUAUCAACAGGGGGGGGGUCUGAGUGGUGGGAUCAGACCACCAGCAUAUCAACAGGGGGGGGUCUGAGUGGUGGGAUCAGACCACCAGCAUAUCAACAGGGGGGGGUCUGAGUGGUGGGAUCAGACCACCAGCAUAUCAACAGGGGGGGGUCUGAGUGGUGGGAUCAGACCACCAGCAUAUCAACAGGGGGGGGUCUGAGUGGUGGGAUCAGACCACCAGCAUAUCAACAGGGGGGGGUCUGAGUGGUGGGAUCAGACCACCAGCAUAUCAACAGGGGUGGGGUCUGAGUGGUGGGAUCAGACCACCAGCAUAUCAACAGGGGGGGGUCUGAGUGGUGGGAUCAGACCACCAGCAUAUCAACAGGGGGGGGGUCUGAGUGGUGGGAUCAGACCACCAGCAUAUCAACAGGGGGGGGGUCUGAGUGGUGGGAUCAGACCACCAGCAUAUCAACAGGGGGGGGGUCUGAGUGGUGGGAUCAGACCACCAGCAUAUCAACAGGGGGGGGUCUGAGUGGUGGGAUCAGACCACCAGCAUAUCAACAGGGGGGGGUCUGAGUGGUGGGAUCAGACCACCAGCAUAUCAACAGUGGGGGGGGGUCUGAGUGGUGGGAUCAGACCACCAGCAUAUCAACAGGGGGGGGUCUGAGUGGUAUCUGUCCCAGGGUGAACCUUUUCCCUCCAAACUCCUUGAGUUCCUCUUCACUCAGCUGGCUCUGGGGGGAGAAGAGACUGUUUUCUGCCCCCCCAGUCUCCCCUGCCCUUGCUGCCAAACCCCCAAACCCUC